AGAGAAUUGCUUGAACCCGGGAGGCGGAGUUUGCAGUGAGCCAAGAUCACGCCAUUGCACUCCAACCUUGGUGACAAGA
rnacentral:snRNA from 1 species